GACCCCGAGCGCAGUAGUUAAACCCUCGCUUUGGAAGGCCCUGGCGGUGCCCUGCCGUUAAACCCCCAACUUCUGAAAAUUUGACCUCGGAUCAGGUAGGAAUACCCGCUGAACUUAAGCAUAUCAA
rnacentral:rRNA from 1 species